UUCCUUCCCGCACAGCCUGGGAAGUAAUCCUAUAUAUAUUAGUUGUUCACCCUGUACUUCCUUAAAGGCUCUUCUCUGCUCUCUGACAUUGUGUCACACAAGCAAAGAAAAAUGCCUGAAGAAGUUCCUGCUCAGUGCAAGGCUCCCAAAGAUGAGCUGGACAAAUGUGUUCAGGGGAAGGGUGCAGAGGGCUGUAAGGAGCUGCUGGAAUCUUUUGAGGCCUGUGUGAAGGGGGCCACGACAACCUCGUGAGGGGACAUGCAUUUACAUGGCCAUCCUUUCUGGGUCCUCCAGUGUCCUUGCAUUCCCUCACAUUUCACUGGACUAAACCAUUCUAAGGACAGUGAAAGG